CCUACGGGUGGCUGCAGUAGGGAAUCUUCCACAAUGGACGAAAGUCUGAUGGAGCAACGCCGCGUGAGUGAAGAAGGGUUUCGGCUCGUAAAGCUCUGUUGGUAGUGAAGAAAGCUAUAGGUAGUAACUGGCCUUUAUUUGACGGUAAUUACUUAGACAGUCCCGGCUAACUACGUGACAGCAGCCGCGGUAUUACGUAGGUGGCAAGCGUUGUCCGGAUGUAUUGGGCGUAAAGGGAGUGCAGGCGGUGAAGUAAGUCUGAUGUGAAAGCCUUCGGCUCAACCGUAGAAUUGCACUAGAUACUGGUGAACUGGAGUGUAGAAGAGUAGAGUGGAAUUCCAUGUGUAGCGGUAGAAUGCGUAGAGAUAAGGAAGAACAUCAGAGGCGAAGGCGGCUCGCUGGACUGCAACUGACGCUGAGGCUCGAAAGCAUGGGUAGCGAACAGGAUUAGAUACCCGUGUAGUC
rnacentral:rRNA from 1 species